CUUUCCAGGGAUCUAAUGGUAUGUGUACACUGAGAGCUAAACUUCAGACAAGUGUGUUCUUCAUCCAUACUGUAAUACAGUGACCUCUCUUUUCUUGCAGAAGUAGAUGCGUGCUCCUGUGAAGGAUGAAAACAGCAAUCUCUCCAGCUUGCAGAAGGCUUCUCCAGAUCCUUGUUCUUAAUUUGCGAGAGGUGUUCAGAUCUCCCUGUAUGGCUUGUGAUGAGAUACUACACCAUCGGUUUUGGCUUACAAGAUGCAGGUAUUGGCUGACUGCCUGCGGGGUGCACACAGGUGCUACCUGUGAACAGUUUCACACUACUGAAAGGCCUGAAACUAAGAGGCAUUUGUCCUUGAAACCAGUCAUGAAUGGAAGGUGAUGUUGAGAAGUCGUUAUCCAUCACUCUGGAAGAGUUGGUGAUGGGCAGACUGCCUGGCUUCUGGCAUGGCAUUUGGGUACAGGGGAUGGAAAAACAGAAGCUUAUCCAGAAAUCCUGAAAUACAUGGUCUGAUUUUUCCAGAACUGGAACAAGAGAAGCACCUCACCAAAAGAGAGCAAAUGCUGUCAUUUGACCUUUUCAGCCUUUGGAUUCUCAGUGCAUCUGACUCGACCAGGCAGGUCUGGGGAAGAGAAAAAUUAACAGCAGAUGGAUUUAUGAAAAGAGCUCAGUGGCAGAUGGUGCCUACAGAUAUUUACUGACAUGGCCUCGGUCUUACAGGGGGCCUGUGUUGGAGGACAUGUUGCUGUGACAGUGGUGUCUGUAGAUGAUAUGUUGAAGGAGUGCAGAGUCAUGGUCUUACUACUGAAGUAGUAAAAUCCACUGAAGUCAUCCCAUUCCCUUCUCCUUCAGUAGUAGACACCUCCUCAUGUCAUGGAACAGAGCCACGAUACUUGGUAGUUGACUACUUGAUGUUUAUUAAAACUUCCUUCUCCCAAGACAGUGAUUUUUUUUUCCUAUGUAAUUUUAGAAGAAUGCUUGAAAAAGGUGACUUAGAUGAACCCUACAGGCUCAUUAAACAGUGGCAACUGAUAAAUCUUUUCUUUGAUAGUCUCUUGAAUUUUUAAGUCUUGGAGUUGGUAAUGCCCAUACUAUAGAUGUACGGAAAUGAAUAUUUCAGAAGUGGGCCAUACCUUUUAAGUGGGGUGAUUUGAAUAAAUGAUUUCACUUUUCUUCUGCCUUUUAAUUA
rnacentral:lncRNA from 1 species